rnacentral:rRNA from 1 species
AGAAUCAACGCUGGCGGCGUGCCUAACACAUGCAAGUCGAACGAGAAAGUGGAGCAAUCCAUGAGUAAAGUGGCGACCGGGUGAGUAACACGUGACUAACCUACCUUCGAGUGGGGGAUAACCUCGGGAAACCGGGCUAAUACCGCAUAAUGCCUUCGGGUUAAAGAGCAAUUCGCUUGAAGAGGGGUCGCGGCUGAUUAGCUAGUUGGCGGGUAACGGCCCACCAAGGCGAUGAUCGGUAG